GAGGUUCUAACCUGGAUCCAUUAUCUGGAUCGGGGACAGUGCAUGGUAGGCAGUUUGACUGGGGCGGUCUCCUCCCAAAGCGUAACGGAGGAGUUCGAAGGUACGCUAGUUACGGUCGGACAUCGUGACGAUAGUGCAAUGGCAUAAGCGUGCUUAACUGCGAGACUGACAAGUCGAGCAGAUGCGAAAGCAGGACAUAGUGAUCCGGUGGUUCUGUAUGGAAGGGCCAUCGCUCAACGGAUAAAAGGUACUCUGGGGAUAACAGGCUGAUACCGCCCAAGAGUUCAUAUCGACGGCGG
rnacentral:rRNA from 1 species